GAUGAACGCUAGCUACAGGCUUAACACAUGCAAGUCGAGGGCAGCACAGUGUAGCAAUACACGGGUGGCCGACCGGCGCACGGGUGCGUAACGCGUAUCCAACCUUCCCGUUACUCUUGGAUAGCCUUCCGAAAGGGAGAUUAAUACAAGAUGGUAUUCAAAUUCCGCAUGUUAUUUGAAUUAAAGAUUUAUCGGUAACGGAUGGGGAUGCGUGACAUUAGAUAGUAGGCGGGGUAACGGCCCACCUAGUCUACGAUGUCUAGGGGUUCUGAGAGGAAGGUCCCCCACACUGGAACUGAGACACGGUCCAGACUCCUACGGGAGGCAGCAGUGAGGAGUAUUGGUCAAUGGUCGGAAGACUGAACCAGCCAAGUAGCGUGAAGGAUGAAGGUUCUAUGGAUUGUAAACUUCUUUUAUACGGGAAUAAAACCUCCCACGUGUGGGAGCUUGUAUGUACCGUAUGAAUAAGCAUCGGCUAACUCCGUG
rnacentral:rRNA from 1 species